GGGAUGGCAGGUAGCCUGUUGUGCACUUUUGUGCCUCCAGGUGUAAUAGCUGACUGCAUCGGUUCUGUGCGGUACGUCGGAGACGGCGGCUUGUUGUGUGUGCAGGCGUGCUGUUGUGCUGACGGCUUCCAGUCUGGUUGCCUUGUUGCUUGUGAACGCAGGCCGGGUGAUGGCUUGUUGCUGUUCAGUGCGCAGUUGCGUUUGUGACACUAUGACAGGGCCAACAGUCUGUGGUGUAGUGGUAGACUAUCCACCUGACCCGUCUUGAAACACGGACCAAGGAGAGUAACAUGUGCGCGAGUCAUUGGGCGUUACGAAACCCAAAGGCGCAGUGAAAGUAAAGGUUCGGCUUGUCCGAGCUGAGGUGAGAUCCUGUCGUUUCUCACGCGUGGUACUACCAAGCAUCGAGCGGCAGGCGCAUCACCGGCCCGUCCCAUGGCGUGGCAGCCUCGUGCCAGCCUAUCGCCGGGGCGGAGCAUGAGCGUACAUGUUGAGACCCGAAAGAUGGUGAACUAUGCUUGCGCAGGUUGAAGCCAGAGGAAACUCUGGUGGAGGACCGCAGCGAUUCUGACGUGCAAAUCGAUCGUCAAACGUGAGUAUAGGGGCGAAAGACUAAUCG
rnacentral:rRNA from 1 species